rnacentral:rRNA from 1 species
CAGUUAGUGGCGAAAGGGUUAGUAACGGAUGGGUAACGUACCCUGUGCUUUGGGAUAGCGUCAUCCCGACUUCGGUCGGGAUUUCCGAAAGGGGCGGUAAUACCAAAUAAUAUCAUUUGUCUAUAGGCGGAUGAUCAAAGAUUUAUCGGCAUAGGCGCGGCCUGUCUCCUAUCAGCUUGUUGGUGAGGUAACGGCUCACCAAGGCAGCGACGGGUAGCGGGACUGAGAGGUUGACCCGCAACAUCGGGACUGAGACACUGCCCGGACCUCCACGGAGGGCUGCAGUAACGAAUAUUGUGCAAUGGGCGAAAGCCUGACACAGCGACGCCGCGUGUAGGAGGAAGUCCUUCGGGAUGUAAACUACUGUCAGGGGGAAGAAAGUGCACUUCGGUGCAUUGAUCUAACCCAAAGGAAGUCACGGCUAACUUCGUGCCAGCAGCCGCGGUAAGACGAAGGUGGCAAGCGUUGUUCGGUAUCACUGGGCUUAGAGCGUGUGUAGGCGGAAAAGUAAGCGUUUCGUGAAAUCCCCCGGCUUAACCGGGGAACUGCGCAAUGAACUGCUUUUCUUGAGGCAAGUAGGGGUGCAUGGAACUCUUGGUGGAGCGGUGGAAUGCGUAGAUAUCAAGAGGAACGCCAGUGGAGAAAUCGGUGCACUGGGCUUGUCCUGACGCUGAGACACGAAAGCGUGGGUAGCGAACGGGAUUAGAUACCCCGGUAGUCCACGCCGUAAACGAUG